rnacentral:rRNA from 1 species
GACGAACGCUGGCGGCGUGCUUAACACAUGCAAGUCGAACGGAAAGGCCCUGCUUUUGUGGGGUGCUCGAGUGGCGAACGGGUGAGUAACACGUGAGUAACCUGCCCUUGACUUUGGGAUAACUUCAGGAAACUGGGGCUAAUACCGGAUAGGAGCUCCUGCUGCAUGGUGGGGGUUGGAAAGUUUCGGCGGUUGGGGAUGGACUCGCGGCUUAUCAGCUUGUUGGUGGGGUAGUGGCUUACCAAGGCUUUGACGGGUAGCCGGCCUGAGAGGGUGACCGGCGACAGUGGGACUGAUACACGGCGCGGAGGCAGCCGGUAGGCACCAGGCGGGGAGAGGGCGGAAGGGCCGGGGGUUGGACGCCGCUGCGGCGCGUGCGGGAGGGCGGGCGACGGGAUGGAAAAAACAAGCGCCGGUGACCAAGCGGCAGGGAGCGGAGUUGAUAAAGAAGCACCGGCUCACUUCAUC